AUUGAACGCUGGCGGCAUGCCUUACACAUGCAAGUCGAACGGCAGCACGGGAGCAAUCCUGGUGGCGAGUGGCGAACGGGUGAGUAAUGUAUCGGAACGUGCCCAGUCGUGGGGGAUAACGCAGCGAAAGCUGUGCUAAUACCGCAUACGAUCUAUGGAUGAAAGCGGGGGAUCGCAAGACCUCGCGCGAUUGGAGCGGCCUAUACCGGAUUAGGUAGUUGGUGGGGUAAAGGCCCACCAAGCCGACGAUCGGUGGCUGGUCUGAGGGGACGAGCAGCCACACUGGAACUGAGACGCGGUCCAGACUCCUACGGGAGGCAGCAGUGGGGAAUUUUGGACAAUGGGCGCAAGCCUGAUCCAGCAAUGCCGCGUGCAGGAUGAAGGCCUUCGGGUUGUAAACUGCUUUUGUACGGAACGAAACGGUUCUCUCUAAUACAGGGGGCUAAUGACGGUACCGUAAGAAUAAGCACCGGCUAACUACGUGCCAGCAGCCGCCGUAA
rnacentral:rRNA from 1 species